rnacentral:rRNA from 1 species
CACUCUAAUGAGACUGCCGGUGACAAACCGGAGGAAGGUGGGGAUGACGUCAAGUCCUCAUGGCCCUUAUGGGUAGGGCUUCACACGUCAUACAAUGGUCGGUACAGAGGGUUGCCAACCCGCGAGGGGGAGCUAAUCCCACAAAGCCGAUCGUAGUCCGGAUCGCAGUCUGCAACUCGACUGCGUGAAGUCGGAAUCGCUAGUAAUCGUGGAUCAGCAUGUCACGGUGAGUACGUUCCCGGGUCUU